rnacentral:ncRNA from 2 species
AUGACGCACGCGGGAGAGCCCCGGAGUAAUCCGGGCACCGAAGGAGCAAGCCUCCCCGCCAAUCUCUCAGGUCCGCGUACCGCGCGCGUCCG